UUGGAAUAAAGCUGCCUAGAAUCUUUUCU
rnacentral:piRNA from 1 species